GACGAACGCUGGCGGCGUGCUUAACACAUGCAAGUCGAACGGAAAGGCCCUGCUUUUGUGGGGUGCUCGAGUGGCGAACGGGUGAGUAACCCGUGAGUAACCUGCCCUUGACUUUGGGAUAACUUCAGGAAACUGGGGAUAAUACCGGAUAGGAGCUCCUGCUGCAUGGUGGGGGUUGGAAAGUUUGGGCGGUUGGGGAUGGACUCGCGGCUUAUCAGCUUGUUGGUGGGGUAGUGGCUUACCAAGCCUUUGACGGGUAGCCGGCCUGAGAGGGUGACCGGCCACAUUGGGACUGAGAUACGCACCAGACUCCUACGGGAGGCAGCAGGGGGGAAUAUUGCACAGUGGGCGGAAGCCUGAUGCAGCAACGCCGCGUGCGGGAUGACGGCCUUCGGGUUGUAAACCGCUUUCGCCUGUGACGAAGCGUGAGUGACGGUAAUGGGUAAAGAAGCACCGGCUAACUACGUG
rnacentral:rRNA from 1 species